GCGGACGGGUGAGUAACACGUGGGUAACCUGCCUCAUAGAGGGGAAUAGCCUUUCGAAAGGAAGAUUAAUACCGCAUAAGAUUGUAGUACCGCAUGGUACAGCAAUUAAAGGAGUAAUCCGCUAUGAGAUGGACCCGCGUCGCAUUAGCUAGUUGGUGAGGUAACGGCCCACCAAGGCGACGAUCCAUAGCCGACCUGAGAGGGUGACCGGCCACAUUGGGACUGAGACACGGCCCAGACUCCUACGGGAGGCAGCAGUGGGGAAUAUUGCACAAUGGGCGAAAGCCUGAUGCAGCGACGCCGCGUGAGCGAAGAAGUAUUUCGGUAUGUAAAGCUCUAUCAGCAGGGAAGAAAAUGACGGUACCUGACUAAGAAGCUCCGGCUAAAUACGUGCCAGCAGCCGCGGUAAUACGUAUGGAGCAAGCGUUAUCCGGAUUUACUGGGUGUAAAGGGAGCGUAGACGGCUUAGCAAGUCUGAUGUGAAAGGCUGGGGCUCAACCCCGGGACUGCAUUGGAAACUGUUAAGCUAGAGUGCCGGAGAGGUAAGCGGAAUUCCUAGUGUAGCGGUGAAAUGCGUAGAUAUUAGGAGGAACACCAGUGGCGAA
rnacentral:rRNA from 1 species